UACGAAGGGGGCUAGCGUUGCUCGGAAUUACUGGGCGUAAAGCGCACGUAGGCGGUCUUUUAAGUCGGGGGUGAAAUCCUGGAGCUCAACUCCAGAACUGCCUUCGAUACUGGAAGACUUGAGUCCGGGAGAGGUGAGCGGAACUGCGAGUGUAGAGGUGAAAUUCGUAGAUAUUCGCAAGAACACCAGUGGCGAAGGCGGCUCACUGGCCCGGUACUGACGCUGAGGUGCGAAAGCGUGGGGAGCAAACAGG
rnacentral:rRNA from 1 species